UACGGAGGGAGCUAGCGUUGUUCGGAAUUACUGGGCGUAAAGCGCACGUAGGCGGCUAUUCAAGUCGGGGGUGAAAGCCCGGGGCUCAACCCCGGAACUGCCCUCGAAACUAGAUAGCUAGAAUCUUGGAGAGGCGAGUGGAAUUCCGAGUGUAGAGGUGAAAUUCGUAGAUAUUCGGAAGAACACCAGUGGCGAAGGCGACUCGCCGGACAAGUAUUGACGCUGAGGUGCGAAAGCGUGGGGAGCAAACAGG
rnacentral:rRNA from 1 species